rnacentral:tRNA from 1 species
GAGGAUAUAGCUCAGUGGUAGAGGGUGUGCAUAGCAUGCACAAGGUCCUGGGUUUAACCCCUAGUACCCCCA